rnacentral:rRNA from 1 species
AUUGAACGCUGGCGGCAUGCUUUACACAUGCAAGUCGAACGGCAGCGCGGGCUUCGGCCUGGCGGCGAGUGGCGAACGGGUGAGUAAUACAUCGGAACGUGCCCAGUAGUGGGGGAUAGCUCGGCGAAAGCAGGAUUAAUACCGCAUACGACCUGAGGGUGAAAGCGGGGGAUCUUCGGACCUCGCGCUAUUGGAGCGGCCGAUGGCAGAUUAGCUAGUUGGUGGGGUAAAGGCCUACCAAGGCGACGAUCUGUAGCUGGUCUGAGAGGACGACCAGCCACACUGGGACUGAGACACGGCCCAGACUCCUACGGGAGGCAGCAGUGGGGAAUUUUGGACAAAGGGCGAAAGCCUGAUCCAGCAAUGCCGCGUGUGUGAUGAAGGCCUUCGGGUUGUAAAGCACUUUUGGCGGGAACGAAAAGGACUGUGCCAAUACCACGGUUCGAUGACGGUACCCGCAGAAUAAGCACCGGCUAACUACGUG